AGACCCGUAGCGCAGUUAGGACAGCGCACCUGCCUUCUAAGUAGGGGGUCGAGGGUUCAAAUCCCUCCGGGUCUGCCA
rnacentral:tRNA from 1 species